AGAUUGAACGCUGGCGGCAGGCCUAACACAUGCAAGUCGAGCGGUAGAGAGGUGCUUGCACCUCUUGAGAGCGGCGGACGGGUGAGUAAUGCCUAGGAAUCUGCCUAGUGGUGGGGGAUAACGUUCGGAAACGGACGCUAAUACCGCAUACGUCCUACGGGAGAAAGCGGGGGACCUUCGGGCCUCGCGCCAUUAGAUGAGCCUAGGUCGGAUUAGCUAGUUGGUGAGGUAAUGGCUCACCAAGGCGACGAUCCGUAACUGGUCUGAGAGGAUGAUCAGUCACACUGGAACUGAGACACGGUCCAGACUCCUACGGGAGGCAGCAGUGGGAAUUAUUGGACAAGU
rnacentral:rRNA from 1 species